AUACGGAGGGUGCAAGCGUUACUCGGAAUCACUGGGCGUAAAGCGCGCGCAGGCGGAUUGGCAAGUUGGAUGUGAAAGCCUGCGGCUCAACCGCAGAACUGCAUCCAAAACUGUCAGUCUAGAGUCUGGGAGAGGUAGCUGGAAUUAGUGGUGUAGGGGUAAAAUCCGUAGAGAGCACUAGGAAUACCAAAAGCGAAGGCGAGCUACUGGAACAGUACUGACGCUGAGGCGCGAAAGCGUGGGGAGCAAACAGGAUUAGAUACCCCGGUAGUCC
rnacentral:rRNA from 1 species